AUCAUAUAAAGAGACCAAUUUCUCCUCAUCCAACCAUGUGGGACUCAUCACCCCACACGCUCAGCACCCUGGGCUGGACAUCUAGAGCAUGGGAAAUUUAAUAUGGGCCCCAACAUCUGUAAGCCAUGAAUUGGUAUAGGCUUGGUUCUGAUACCAUGUUAUAGACCUUGGGCCUAACCCCAAGUUAGCUCAAGAGGUAUGGACAGAGGCCCCUUCAAUCCCAGCUGCUUUAGUUUCUGUACUUCUAAAGUUGCCCAACAUCAAAUUUGUAAUUGUGACAUUGGGUGAAGAUGGCUGCAUGAUGUUAGAAAGGGCUGAAGCUGAGGAUCUCCAGUCUGAAGAAAUUGAUGUU